rnacentral:rRNA from 1 species
UGAAUACGAGACGCUACGGCGUCGAAGCAGUCUAUGUCAUACUUCCAAGAAAAGCUUGCACUGUCAUAAACAAAUAAUGCCUGUACCAUAACCGACACAGGUGGGUAGGUAGAGUAUACUAAGGGGCGCGAGAUAACUCUCUCUAAGGAACUCGGCAAAAUGACUCCGUAACUUCGGGAGAAGGAGUGCCUUAUUUAUAAGGUUGCAAUAACAAGAUCCAAGCAACUGUUUAUCAAAAACACAGGUCUCCGCUAAGUCGUAAGACGAUGUAUGGGGGCUGACGCCUGCCCAGUGCCAGAAGGUUAAAGAAGUUGGUUAGCAUUAGCGAAGCUGAUAACUGAAGCCCUGGUGAACGGCGGCCGUAACGAUAACGGUCCUAAGGUAGCGAAAUUCCUUGUCGGGUAAGUUCCGACCCGCACGAAAGGCGUAAUGAUUUGGAUACUGUCUCAGAGAGGGGCUCGGUGAAAUAGACUUGUCUGUGAAGAUGCGGACUACCUGCACCAGGACAGAAAGACCCUAUGAAGCUUUACUGUAACUUGAAAUUGAAAUUGGACUUUAUUUGCGCAGUAUAGGUGGGAGGCAUUGAUAAUAUUCUUGCGGGAAUGUUGGAGCCAUCAGUGAGAUACCACUCUUGUAAUGUUAGAUUUCUAACUUUGGAUCAUUAUCUGGUCAAAGGACAGUUUCAGGCGGGCAGUUUGACUGGGGCGGUCGCCUCCUAAAUGGUAACGGAGGCGCACAAAGGUUUCCUCUGAACGGGUAGAAAUCGUAUCUAGAGUGUAAAGGCAUAAGGAAGCUUGACUGUGAGACCUACAAGUCGAGCAGGGACGAAAGUCGGUCUUAGUGAUCUGACGGUGCUGAGUGGAAAGGCCGUCACUCAACGGAUAAAAGUUACUCUAGGAUAACAGGCUGAUCUCCCCCAAGAGUUCACAUCGACGGGGAGGUUUGGCACCUCGAUGUCGGCUCAUCGCAUCCUGGGGCGGUAGUACGUCCCAAGGGUUGGGCUGUUCGCCCAUGAAAGCGGUACGCGAGCUGGGUUCAGAACGUCGUGAGACAGUUCGGUCCAUAUCCGGUGUAGGCGUUAGAAUAUUGAGAGGAGCCUUCUUUAGUACGAGAGGACCGAGAAGGACAUACCUCUGGUGUACCAGUUAUCGUGCCAACGGUAAACGCUGGGUAGCUAUGUAUGGAGAGGAUAACCGCUGAAAGCAUCUAAGUGGGAAGCCCACCUCAAGAUAAG